AUUUAUAAAGAGUUUGAUCCUGGCUCAGGACGAACGCUGGCGGCGCGCCUAACACAUGCAAGUCGAACGAGAGAGAAGGAGCUUGCUUCUUCGAUCGAGUGGCGAACGGGUGAGUAACGCGUGAGGAACCUGCCUCAAAGAGGGGGACAACAGUUGGAAACGACUGCUAAUACCGCAUAAGCCCACAGGUCGGCAUCGACCAGAGGGAAAAGGAGCAAUCCGCUUUGAGAUGGCCUCGCGUCCGAUUAGCUAGUUGGUGAGGUAAUGGCCCACCAAGGCGACGAUCGGUAGCCGGACUGAGAGGUUGAACGGCCACAUUGGGACUGAGACACGGCCCAGACUCCUACGGGAGGCAGCAGUGGGGAAUAUUGCACAAUGGGGGAAACCCUGAUGCAGCGACGCCGCGUGGAGGAAGAAGGUCUUCGGAUUGUAAACUCCUGUUGUUGAGGAAGAUAAUGACGGUACUCAACAAGGAAGUGACGGCUAACUACGUGCCAGCAGCCGCGGUAAAACGUAGGUCACAAGCGUUGUCCGGAAUUACUGGGUGUAAAGGGAGCGCAGGCGGGAAGACAAGUUGGAAGUGAAAUCCAUGGGCUCAACCCAUGAACUGCUUUCAAAACUGUAUUUCUUGAGUAGUGCAGAGGUAGGCGGAAUUCCCGGUGUAGCGGUGGAAUGCGUAGAUAUCGGGAGGAACACCAGUGGCGAAGGCGGCCUACUGGGCACCAACUGACGCUGAGGCUCGAAAGUGUGGGUAGCAAACAGGAUUAGAUACCCUGGUAGUCCACACCGUAAACGAUGAUUACUAGGUGUUGGAGGAUUGACCCCUUCAGUGCCGCAGUUAACACAAUAAGUAAUCCACCUGGGGAGUACGACCGCAAGGUUGAAACUCAAAGGAAUUGACGGGGGCCCGCACAAGCAGUGGAGUAUGUGGUUUAAUUCGACGCAACGCGAAGAACCUUACCAAGUCUUGACAUCCUGCGACGG
rnacentral:rRNA from 1 species